rnacentral:rRNA from 1 species
GCAGUCGACGCCUUUUCUUUCACCGGAGCUUGCUCCACCGAAAGAAAAGGAGUGGCGAACGGGUGAGUAACACGUGGGUAACCUGCCCAUCAGAAGGGGAUAACACUUGGAAACAGGUGCUAAUACCGUAUAACAAUAGAAACCGCAUGGUUUCUAUUUGAAAGGCGCUUUUGCGUCACUGAUGGAUGGACCCGCGGUGCAUUAGCUAGUUGGUGAGGUAACGGCUCACCAAGGCAACGAUGCAUAGCCGACCUGAGAGGGUGAUCGGCCACAUUGGGACUGAGACACGGCCCAAACUCCUACGGGAGGCAGCAGUAGGGAAUCUUCGGCAAUGGACGAAAGUCUGACCGAGCAACGCCGCGUGAGUGAAGAAGGUUUUCGGAUCGUAAAACUCUGUUGUUAGAGAAGAACAAGGAUGAGAGUAGAAUGUUCAUCCCUUGACGGUAUCUAACCAGAAAGCCACGGCUAACUACGUGCCAGCAGCCGCGGUAAUACGUAGGUGGCAAGCGUUGUCCGGAUUUAUUGGGCGUAAAGCGAGCGCAGGCGGUUUCUUAAGUCUGAUGUGAAAGCCCCCGGCUCAACCGGGGAGGGUCAUUGGAAACUGGGAAACUUGAGUGCAGAAGAGGAGAGUGGAAUUCCAUGUGUAGCGGUGAAAUGCGUAGAUAUAUGGAGGAACACCAGUGGCGAAGGCGGCUCUCUGGUCUGUAACUGACGCUGAGG